UGCCAGACUCCUACGGGAGGCAGCAGUGGGGAAUAUUGCGCAAUGGGGGCAACCCUGACGCAGCAACGCCGCGUGAUUGAAGAAGGCCUUCGGGUUGUAAAGAUCUUUAAUCAGGGACGAAAAAUGACGGUACCUGAAGAAUAAGCUCCGGCUAACUACGUGCCAGCAGCCGCGGUAAUACGGAGGAUGCGAGCGUUAUCCGGAUUUAUUGGGUUUAAAGGGUGCGCAGGCGGAGGUGCAAGUCAGUGGUCAAAUUGCGGGGCACAACCCCGUCCUGCCGUUGAAACUGCAUCCCUUGAGUGCGCGAGAAGUAUGCGGAAUGCGUGGUGUAGCGGUGAAAUGCAUAGAUAUCACGCAGAACCCCGAUUGCGAAGGCAGCAUACCGGUGCACAACUGACGCUCAUGCACGAAAGUGUGGGUAUCGAACAGGAUUAGAUCCCCCCGUA
rnacentral:rRNA from 1 species